rnacentral:rRNA from 1 species
UAGAGUUUGAUCCUGGCUCAGAUUGAUUUCUGGCGGCAGGCCUAACACAUGCAAGUCGAGCGGUAACACAGAGGAGCUUGCUCCUUGGGUGACGAGCGGCGGACGGGUGAGUAAUGCCUGGGGAUCUGCCCGGUAGAGGGGGAUAACUACGGGAAACUGUAGCUAAUACCGCAUAAUGUCUACGGACCAGAGUGGGGGCUCUUCGGACCUCAUGCUAUCGGAUGAACCCAGGUGGGAUUAGCUAGUUGGUGAGGUAAUGGCUCACCAAGGCGACGAUCUCUAACUGGUUUGAGAGAAUGACCAGUCACACUGGAACUGAGACACGGUCCACACUCCUACGGGAGGCAGCAGUGGGGAAUAUUGCACAAUGGGCGCUUUUCUGAUGCCCCCAUGCCGCGUGUGUGAAGAAGGCCUUCGGGUUGUAAAGCACUUUCAGCGGGGAGGAAGGGCUACUAGCUAAUACCUAGUGGCAUUGACGUUACUCGCAGAAGAAGCCCCGGCUAACUCCGUGCCAGCCGCCGCGGUAAUUCGGAGGGUGCAAGCGUUAAUUGGAAUUACUGGGCGUAAAGCGCACGCAGGCGGUUUGUUAAGUCAGAUGUGAAAUCCCCGAGCUCAACUUGGGAACUGCAUUUGAAACUGGCAAGUUAGAGUCUUGUAGAGGGGGGUAGAAUUUCAGGUGUAGCGGUGAAAUGUGUAGAGAUCUGGAGGAAUCCCCGUGGCGAAGGCGGCCCCCUGGACACAGACUGACGCUCAGGUGCGAAAGCGUGGGGAGCAAACAGGAUUAGAUACCCUGGUAGUCC